AUUGAACGCUGGCGGCAGGCUUAACACAUGCAAGUCGAGCGAGCGGCGGACGGGUGAGUAAUGUCUGGGAAACUGCCUGAUGGAGGGGGAUCACUACUGGAAACGGUAGCUAAUACCGCCUACACUCAGAUGUGCCCAGAUGGGAUUAGCUAGUAGGUGGGGUAAGGGCUCACCUAGGCGAAGAUCCCUAGCUGGUCUGAGAGGAGGACCAGCCACACUGGAACUGAGACACGGUCCAGACUCCUACGGGAGGCAGCAGUGGUGAAUAUUGCACAAUGGGCGCAAGCCUGAUGCAGCCAGGCCGCGUGUAUGAAGAAGGCCUUCGGGUUGUAAAGUACUUUCAGCGAGGAGGCGUUACUCGCAGAAGAAGCACCGGCUAACUCCGUGCCAGCAGCCGCGGUAAUUC
rnacentral:rRNA from 1 species